rnacentral:rRNA from 1 species
GACGAACGCUGGCGGCGUGCUUAACACAUGCAAGUCGAGCGGUAAGGCCCUUUCGGGGGUACACGAGCGGCGAACGGGUGAGUAACACGUGGGUGACCUGCCCUUAGCUCUGGGAUAAGCCUGGGAAACUGGGUCUAAUACCGGAUAUGACCUCAUGACGCAUGUUGUGGGGUGGAAAGCCUUGUGCGGCUAGGGAUGGGCCCGCGGCCUAUCAGCUUGUUGGUGGGGUGAGGCCUACCAAGGCGACGACGGGUAGCCGGCCUGAGAGGGCGACCGGCCACACUGGGACUGAGACACGGCCAGACUCCGUACGGGAGGCAGCAGGUGGGGAAUCUUGCGCAAGUGGGACGAAAGCCUGACGCAGCGACGCCGCGU